GACGAACGCUGGCGGCGUGCUUAACACAUGCAAGUCGAACGGUAAGGCCCUUCGGGUACGACGAGUGGCGAACGGGUGAGUAACACGUGGGUGAUCUGCCCUGCACUUCGGGAUAAGCCUGGGAAACUGGGUCUAAUACCGGAUAGGACUCCGAAUCGCAUGGUUUGGGGUGGAAAGCUUUUGCGGUGUGGGAUGGGCCCGCGGCCUAUCAGCUUGUUGGUGGGGUGAUGGCCUACCAAGGCGACGACGGGUAGCCGGCCUGAGAGGGUGUCCGGCCACACUGGGACUGAGAUACGGCCCAGACUCCUACGGGAGGCAGCAGUGGGGAAUAUUGCACAAUGGGCGCAAGCCUGAUGCAGCGACGCCGCGUGAGGGGAUGACGGCCUUCGGGUUGGUAAACCUCUUUCAAUAGGGACGAAGCGUAAGUGACGGUACCGUAUAGAAGAAGCA
rnacentral:rRNA from 1 species